rnacentral:lncRNA from 1 species
CCCUUGAUGCAGAUCUCUCUUUUGGCUGAUGAAUGUCCUGAAUAAUGUCUUGAUAGAUUGUUAAGAGCGAGACUUAUAAACUGCUUUGGUUCUUAUCUGAUUCUUGAAUUACUUUGGGCUGAAGUUUUGCACGAUGUUGUCUUUCUUAUUCCUGUUUAGACAAACUGGAUCAAGUGAACAUAAGAGAGUCAGAGACUAUAAGAUUAUACAGGUCUCAAGAAUUCAAUCUAAGACCAGGUAGUCAUGAGAUCUUUCUUUCGAGUCCUAAUGGUACCACCCAGCACUGAUACAAAUCAAUUUUGAUGUGAAUAAACAAACUUGUAUCAUAAGAGGACUUGGCAAAUAUAACAAUCUGCUUCAUAAUUUUCUCAGAUAACAAUAAAACAAAAAUAUGCACAGGUAAACUCUCUCAACUAUUGUCUCUAAACUAUAUGUGACGUGACACUAAUGCUUACAGAGUUACAGAUCAAACUCCAAAUUUUGUCUCAUAUGCGUUCUUCUCUCCUCAGUUUGUCACGUCACCACGUUUUGAAAAUUUGAGUUUUGACAAUGUCUUCUCCAAUCCACAAACAAAUUAAUGCGAGUUGUCAUGUAUAAACGUAACUAGCUCAUAAAUGUGAUACUGGGAAAUUCCAAGAUAAGAUAAAAUUUUCACCUUGUAGACCCGUUGAUAAAAAUUGUAAAUUGUGUUUUAAUGUGUGAACAAAAGAACUAUAUGUUGAUUUCUCUGUGUUGCUGACUUAGUGUGAACGUACUUGUAACUUGAAUUUCAAUGAAAAUGUCAAAUGUUGGUCAUAGGUGAACAGUCAAUUUUUUGCCCACAGAGUCAAAGACUCAAAGAGAGACCCACGUGGAAUUAUUCAUGAACUGUAUGACUCGUAGACAUUCCACGUGGCAUGUAGACUCCACAUAUUGGUAAGCAUCUACACUAGCUCAGCCAUUAGAGUUUAACUAUCUUGCAACUAACAUAUAGAAAUAUCUAUUUUAGUAGCUUUUGGUUUAAUAAUUUCAUCAACUUUUUACCAAUAACAAACAUCAUGUCGCUGUCGCAACCGCGUCUGCGUUUGCGUUUUCUCUCUAUACUCUUACUAAACUGUAUCGUCUUCGCUUCAAACUUCUUGAUAAACAAUGCUCUUCCUUGUCGUCCCGACCAGAUCCAAGCUCUAAUGCAAUUCAAGAACGAAUUUGAAUCCAACGGUUGCAACCGCAGCGACUUUCUCAGCGGAGUCCGGUGCGAUAACGCCACUGGUGCAGUCACGAAGCUACAGCUCCCAAGUGGCUGCUUCACUGGAACUCUCAAACCAAACAGUAGCCUCUUUGGAUUUCAUCAUCUUCGUUACCUUAAUCUCUCUCACAACAACUUUACGUCUUCUUCUCUUCCUUCUGAAUUCAGCAAUCUCAACAGAUUAGAGGUUUUGUCUCUUGCCUCUAAUAGCUUCGUUGGUCAAGUUCCUUCAUCAUUUAGUAACCUGGUUAUGCUUACCCAUUUAAACCUUUCACACAACGAGCUCACUGGUAGUUUCCCACAAGUAAGAAAUCUCACCAAGCUCUCCUUUUUAGACCUUUCUUAUAAUCAGUUCUCAGGAACCAUACCUUCUGAUUUACUACUCACUAUGCCUUUCUUGUCUCAUCUUAAUUUGAAAGAGAAUCAUCUCACUGGUCCUAUUGAGGUUCCCAACUCUUCUUCUAGGCUAGUGUAUUUGUCCCUUGGGAAUAACCAAUUUGAAGGACAAAUCCUUGAGCCAAUCUCAAAGCUCAUCAACCUUGAAUACCUCGAGCUUUCUUCCCUAAACAUAAGUUACCCAAUCGACUUAAGCAUCUUCUCCUCUCUCAAAGCUUUGUUGAUCCUUGAAAUUUCUAAAAAUAGGUUAUUACCAGCCAGUUUAAGUUCAGAUUCAGGCAUCCCAUUGAGCUUAGAAGGCUUAAUUAUGUCUCAAUGUGACAUUAUUGAGUUCCCAAACAUCUUUAAGACCCUCCAAAACUUGCAACAUGUAGUCAUAUCCAACAAUAGAAUUAAAGGGAAAGUCCCUGAGUGGUUCUGGAAGCUACCUCGUCUUAGCAUAGUGGGUCUUGUCAACAAUUCUUUUACCGGUUUCGAAGGUUCUUCGGAGGUUUUGCUUAAUUCGUCGGUGCAGAUACUAGAUUUUGCCUAUAACUCUAUGACAGGAGCAUUUCCUCUUCCACCACCUAAUAUUAUCUACUUGUCUGCGUGGAACAAUAGUUUCACAGGGAACAUACCUCUCUCCAUUUGUAACCGAAGCUCUCUCGUUGUUUUUGAUCUAUCCUACAACAACUUCACCGGUCCAAUUCCUCGAUGCUUGAGUAACUUAAAGAUAGUGAAUCUCAGGAAGAACAGUUUGGAAGGAAGUAUACCUGACGAGUUCUAUAGCGGCGCUUCGACACAAACGCUUGAUGUUGGCUACAAUCGACUAACCGGGAAGCUUCCAAGAUCGCUUUUAAAUUGCUCCUUUCUCAAGUUUCUAAGUGUUGACAACAACAGAAUCGAAGACACGUUUCCUUUCUGGCUCAAGGCUGUACCCAAUUUGCAGGUCUUUACUCUCCGUUCAAACAGAUUCUUUGGCCAUCUCUCUCCUCCUGAUCAAGGCCCUCUGGCCUUUCCCGAGCUGCGAAUACUUGAAUUAUCGGAUAACAGCUUUACCGGAAGCUUGCCACCAAGUUACUUUGUUAACUGGCAAGCAUCAUCAGUCAAGAUAAAUGAAGAUGGGCGUAUAUAUAUGGGAGACUACAAGAAUGCUUAUUAUAUCUAUGAGGAUACUAUGGAUUUGCAAUACAAAGGUCUAUUUAUGGAGCAGGGGAAAGUGCUUACUUCCUACACUACCAUUGACUUCUCUGGAAACAAACUUGAAGGUGAAAUUCCUGAGUCCAUUGGUCUCUUGAAGGGAUUGAUUGCACUCAACUUAUCAAACAACGCCUUCUCAGGCCAAAUUCCUCUGUCUUUAGCAAAUGUCACGGAGCUGGAGUCACUAGAUCUGUCAAGAAACCAACUAUCAGGGAAUAUUCCAAGAGAACUCGGGAGCCUCUCGUUUUUGGCGUACAUAAGCGUGGCUCAUAACCAACUCAAAGGUAAAAUACCACAAGGACCACAGAUUACUGGGCAACCUAAAUCAUCAUUUGAAGGGAAUGUAGGUCUGUGUGGUCUUCCUCUACAAGGAAGUUGCUUUGCGCCACCAACGCAACAGCCUGAGGAAGAAGACGAAGAGGAAGAGGAACAAGUGUUAAACUGGAAAGCAGUGGUUAUAGGGUAUUUGCCAGGAUUAUUAUUUGGGUUCGUAAUAGCACACGUUAUUGCUUCAUACAGGCCGAAGUGGUUUGUUAAGUUAGUUGGUCCGGAUAAGCAAAAGAAAGCAGAUAAUUCAGUUAGUUUGUUUAUGUCUAUGGAUUCGAGAUGGGAGAGUUUUAAUAGUAAGAACAGUGUAGAAAGUGAGAUGUAAAUAUAGUAUGUUGAUAUUUUUAAACUGAUGUAAGAAAAGAGGUCUUACUAGUUACUAGUUUCUGUAACCUUUGUUCUCUUAAAUGGGACCUCUCUUUUGGCUGAUGAUGUCCAGCAAUAAAAACCUUUCUUUUGGCUCUUGUCUGAUUCAGCUUCCUGUUAAGACAGAGUUGGAUCAAGUGAAAAUAAGAGAAUCAGUGCUAUAAGCUUACACAGGUCUCUAGAAUUCAGUCUCAGACUAGACAUUCACGAGAUCCCUUUUUCUAAGUAUAAAACCUACUACACACCACUGAUAAAAAUCAGUUUAAUGUGAAUAAACAAAAUCAUAUCAUAUGAGGACUUACCAAAUAUAGCAACAUGCUUCACAAUUUGAACUAAUAAUAUUCUCAGAUAACAAUAGAAUAAAGUAUGGACAUGAAAACUCUCUCUCAAGGAGUAUUGUCUCUCGAUUAUGACUGAAACUAAUCCUUACAUAUCAAACUCCGGUCUCAUGGAUUUUCAUAAAUUAGCUAAAGGGAAAAUACUAAGAGAGAGAUAUAUAUUUCAGAUGAAAGAUUCUGAAAAUUCUUAUACAUUCACACAUUCCUUAGAUAUAGAUUCAGAUGAAAGAUAUAAUCUGACAAUUUCUUCUCCAAUCCACAAAUUAAAUCAAUGCCAGUUCUUCACUGUAACGAACUAACAUCUUCAAAAGUUGACCAAGUCUUCUCCAAUCCAGAAACAAAUUAAUGUAAAUGCCAGUUAUUUGUAAAUCUACACAUUCAAUGACAAGAAAUAAUAUCAACAAACUAAGAAAGACGAAUUAUUAUCUUGUAAUCAAAGCUUGACCAAAUCGGCGUUUGAAUCAAACAAAAGAAAACCAGCAAACCAGCAAACCAAAAUCAGAUAUAUAGCAAAUUUACUGAUGAAUUCGAUAACUCUUGCUUGGAAAAGGAAAUCACCUGAAGCUCCUUAGAUUAUUUCGGAAGCCGCCACUCAACCAAAACGUCGGCGAGAGUGACGGUGACUGUAAUCGCUUCGCCGUUGUCGCGUGAUUAAAUCUUCCUUAAGCGACUUAUGUCUUAAACCAAAUCUCGCAAAUCUGGUUCAUUAAAUUGUAUAUAACCGGUUUCGUAUAAACCGAAAUGUAAUUUUUGGUCUAAAUUGGUUUACAUAAUGCUGCUGGGUGAUUAUUUUUUGUUUCGCAUUUUUUUUUUUCCUACUGGUUCAGCCUUUUGAGUCG